CCCGUUGCGGGGGCCCGCUCGGAUUGUCGGAGCCGCUACCAGCUUCUUCUCUCAGGGCGAGCACUGGCGGAGCGCUACCGGAGGAUUUACACCACCGCGAUCAACGACAAAGAGCAGGGGCUCAACCUCGGCAGGGGAAAGAAAGCUUUGAGCAAGAAGAAGCU